UACGGAGGGUGCAAACGUUGCUCGGAAUUAUUGGGCGUAAAGCGCACGUAGGCGGCCGAAUAAGUCGGGUGUGAAAGCCCUGGGCUCAACCCAGGAAGUGCACUCGAAACUGCUCGGCUUGAAUAUGGAAGAGGGUCGCGGAAUUCCCGGUGUAGAGGUGAAAUUCGUAGAUAUCGGGAGGAACACCAGUGGCGAAGGCGGCGACCUGGGCCAAUAUUGACGCUGAGGUGCGAAAGCGUGGGGAGCAAACAGG
rnacentral:rRNA from 1 species